UUAUUAUGACAUCAUGUGCAAGUCAUGUACACUGGAAAGUGCUUUAAACUACCCUAAAUUGAGACUGUAUCUGUAACUUUGACCUGACUGCUAUAGUUGACUAUACUACCCUAAAAUGAUACUAUAUUUUUUGAUGUAAGUCAGAUGAAAUCUAUACUUUUAUUUGAUUGCUAUCUUUGGAAAUAGUAACAUGCAUCUUAUUAUUACUUUUUCCCUUGGUUCUAGCUUAUCUUCACAUAAUCCUGAAGUUUUUAGUUCAUCCAAACGAGGAGGUGCCUUAUUGGCUCCAGGCAAGUCAAAUUAAACAGACAUGGGCCCUGUUCUUACAACACUAUUGGCAGCAUUGUUACAGACAGGCAACCAAAGGACAUCAGAUGCAGACAUCAGCAAACAAACGCAUGAAUGAAGACCUUGCAUUGUUUGUGGUAAUCUGAGG
rnacentral:lncRNA from 1 species